GUAGCGUGAAGGANGACUGCCCUAUGGGUUGUAAACUUCUUUUNNAAAGGAAUAAAGUCGGGUAUGCAUACCCGUUUGCAUGUACUUUAUGAAUAAGGAUCGGCUAACUCCGUGCCAGCAGCCGCGGUAAUACGGAGGAUCCGAGCGUUAUCCGGAUUUAUUGGGUUUAAAGGGAGCGUAGAUGGAUGUUUAAGUCAGUUGUGAAAGUUUGCGGCUCAACCGUAAAAUUGCAGUUGAUACUGGAUGUCUUGAGUGCAGUUGAGGCAGGCGGAAUUCGUGGUGUAGCGGUGAAAUGCUUAGAUAUCACGAAGAACUCCGAUUGCGAAGGCAGCCUGCUAAGCUGCAACUGACAUUGAGGCUCGAAAGUGUGGGUAUCAAACAGGAUUAGAUACCCUGGUAGUCCACACGGUAAACGAUGAAUACUCGCUGUUUGCGAUAUACGGCAAGCGGCCAAGCGAAAGCGUUAAGUAUUCCACCUGGGGAGUACGCCGGCAACGGUGAAACUCAAAGGAAUUGACGGGGGCCCGCACAAGCGGAGGAACAUGUGGUUUAAUUCGAUGAUACGCGAGGAACCUUACCCGGGCUUAAAUUGCACUCGAAUGAUCCGGAAACGGUUCAGCUAGCAAUAGCGAGUGUGAAGGUGCUGCAUGGUUGUCGUCAGCUCGUGCCGUGAGGUGUCGGCUUAAGUGCCAUAACGAGCGCAACCCUUGUUGUCAGUUACUAACAGGUGAUGCUGAGGACUCUGACAAGACUGCCAUCGUAAGAUGUGAGGAAGGUGGGGAUGACGUCAAAUCAGCACGGCCCUUACGUCCGGGGCUACACACGUGUUACAAUGGGGGGUACAGAGGGCCGCUACCACGCGAGUGGAUGCCAAUCCCUAAAACCCCUCUCAGUUCGGACUGGAGUCUGCAACCCGACUCCACGAAGCUGGAUUCGCUAGUAAUCGCGCAUCAGCCACGGCGCGGUGAAUACGUUCCCGGGCCUUGUACACACCGCCCGUCAAGCCAUGGGAGCCGGGGGUACCUGAAGUGCGUAACCGCGAGGAUCGCCCUAGGGUAAAACUGGUGACUGGGGCUAAGUCUAACCAAGGUAA
rnacentral:rRNA from 1 species